rnacentral:lncRNA from 1 species
GCGUGAACGGCGGGUGCCAAGGGCGCGACCGGGGGUUGCGGACAAAAGGGCUCGGGCAACGCGUCGAGGGCAGCCAUGCUGGGCGCCGGCAUUGGUGCGAUGAACGCGGGCCGUGGCGACAGGGGGCGCAUGGCGUCGAGGCACUGGUGGAUGGCGGCCAUCUUGGAGCCGCCGCUCAUGGGCGGCGCGCGCCACGACCCGCCACUGUAGUUGCCGUGCAUCGCCGCAAGCGGGGGCGUCGACGGACCAGAGCCAAGGAUCUCGCGGUGGUGGCGCGGUCGGCCAGUAUUUCCGAGCCAGAAACUGCGCGCGCCUGCGACAGACACGCACAAAAAGGAAAUCAAGAGAGCGAGGAAAAAAGAAGGGAGAAAAAGGGUCACCGCUGGACGCAGCCGCUUGCGAGGGGGGGAGGGCGGCGGGACCUUUUUCCCUUUGUCGCCUCACGAGGCGCGCCCCAACCGGCGACCGCAAGCCGACAGACGCCCUCUCAUUGCCCUGAAGAAGAAGAAGAAGGGAGAAAAAAAGGGCGACCACAGAGGGCGGUCGAACCGCCAGGACGGAAUUGAGAGAGAAAAAAAGGCGGCGCCCCCUCCCCCAAAAGGUCGUCGCCAUGUGGUUG